UAAACUAGGAUUAGAUACCCUAUUAUUGAAAAUGUAAAUUUAUUACCUGAAUAGUAUUAGUUAUGUUCUUGAAAUUCAAAGGAUUUGGCGGUAUUGUAGUCUAUUCAGAGGAACCUGUCCUGUAAUUGAUGAUCCACGUUUAAUUAAACUUGUUUUAUUGGUUUGUAUAUCGUCGUAGUUUGAAUGUUUUUAAAGAAUAUGAAAUGUUCAUAAUUUGUUAAUUCAAGGUAAAUCAGAUCAAGAUACAGCGUAUAAACAAGAAGAGAUGGGUUACAAUAAAUUUAUUUAUAUGGUAAAAUGAGUUAACACUGUUUUUAAAGUGGAUUUGAUAGUAAUAAGAUUGAGUUUAAUCUUAUGACUUUAGCUCUAUAAUAUGCACAUAUCGCCCGUCGCUCCCACUCUAAAGUGGGAUAAGUCGUAACAAAGUAGGUGUACUGGAAAGUGUACCUAGAACGACAAGUUAGAGCUUGUUAUAAAGCAUUUUAUUUACAUUAAAAAGUUAGUUGUGUGAUUCAGCUUAAUUUGACAAUAGCUAAUUUAUUUUUAUUAUAUAUCUAUAAAGUAUUUAUGUUAUUAGUAGUUUAUUGAACUUUAGUUUAUAUAUUAUAGUUAAUUUGUAUAGUGAUAGAAUAUUUAAAUAAUUUAAAUACUAAAUUAUAAAUAAGAAGAUUUAUUUUAUCGUACCUUGUGUAUCAGGGUUUAUUAAAAUAAGUUUGUUACUAAGUUUUCUCGAAUUAAGAAGAGCUAAUAUUAUAUAUAUAUAAUUGUUGCAUCAAUUUUUAUAAUAUAAUAUUUGUAGUGAAACGUUAUUCGUUUUUUAAUAUAUCUAGUUUCUUAAGAAAUAAAUUGAAUUUAUUUUACUGUUUUAAUGUUGUUGAAUAUUAAAUUUUGUUAAAUGGUAAUUAAAUACUAUAAGGGAUAAGCUUUAUAGUAAAAUUUUUAAAGUAUAUUUUUAUAUAAAGAGUAAGUAGGAUUGGAAUUGUCUAUCUUUAGGAUGUUAUAAUGAACUUUAUUUAUAAUAAGAUUUAUAUUUUACUUUAAUUUUUUAUUAAGAUUAUGCAUAGAACUGCUUUGUGUAUGUAAUAAUGAUUGAAUUAGUAUAUUGUUAUGUAUUAAUAAUAUUAAAUGGAAGGUUAAUUUAAGGAACUCGGCAAAUAUAAUUUUCCGCCUGUUUAUUAAAAACAUGUCUUUUUGAAUAUAAUUUAAAGUCUAACCUGCCCAAUGAGGAUUUUAAUGGCCGCGGUAUUUUGACCGUGCAAAGGUAGCAUAAUCAUUAGUUUUUUAAUUGAAAGCUGGAAUGAACGGUUGGACGAGAAAAUAUCUGUCUCAGAUUAAAUUUAAUUAGAACUUUAUUUUUAAGUAAGAAAGCUUAAAUAAUUUUAAAAGACGAGAAGACCCUAUAGAAUUUUAUAGUUAUUAGUUUAAGUAAUUUUUGGUAUUACUAUUUUACUAAAUUGAUAAUUAUUUUGUUGGGGCGACAGAAAAAUUAAUAUAACUUUUUUUAAUAUUGGAACAUAAAUUUAUGGUUUGAUGAUCCAUUUAAGUAUGAUUAUAAGAUUAAAUUACCUUAGGGAUAACAGCGUUAUUUUUCUUGAGAGUUCAUAUCGAAAGAAAAGUUUGCGACCUCGAUGUUGGAUUAAAAUUAACUAUUGGUGCAGAAGCUAAAUAGUUAGGUCUGUUCGACCUUUAAAAUUUUACAUGAUCUGAGUUUAAACCGGCGUGAGCCAGGUUGGUUUCUAUCUUUAAAUAGAUAAAAUAUUUUAGUACGAAAGGACCAAGUAUUUGUAAUAUUUACUAAUUUUUGAAUACUAAUAAAAUUACUUUGGCAGAAUAGUGCUUUAAAUUUAGAAUUUAAUAAUGUAUGAUUAAUACAGGUAAUAUAUGUAUAUUAAGGAUUAWUUGUAUAAUGGGUUUAUUUAGAUUGGUAUUAUUGAUUUGUGUUUUAGUAGGUGUAGCUUUUUUAACUUUAAUGGAACGUAAGGUUUUAGGAUAUAUUCAAAUUC
rnacentral:rRNA from 1 species